GUACGCGAGCUGGGUUUAGAACGUCGUGAGACAGUUCGGUCCCUAUCUGCCGUGGGCGCUGGAGAAUUGAGGGGGGUUGCUCCUAGUACGAGAGGACCGGAGUGAACGCACCACUGGUGUUCGGGUUGUCAUGCCAAUGGCAUUGCCCGGUAGCUAAGUGCGGAAAAGAUAAGUGCUGAAAGCAUCUAAGCACGAAACUUGCCCCGAGAUGAGUUCUCCCUGACUCCUUGAGAGUCCUGAAGGGACGUUGAAGACUACGACGUUGAUAGGCCGGGUGUGUAAGCGCAGCGAUGCGUUGAGCUAACCGGUACUAAUGACCCGUGAGGCUUAACCUUACAACGCCAGAGGCGUUU
rnacentral:rRNA from 1 species